rnacentral:sRNA from 1 species
GUGAAGUUGAUCACAACAAACAUAUACCCCUUUUGUUUGACCGUGAAAAAUUUCUCCCAUCCCCUUUGUUCGUAUUAAUAGAAAAAUGCCUUACAGUCGGAAAUGCUGUAAGGCAUUUUC